ACGAACGCUGGCGGCGUGGAUAAGACAUGCAAGUCGGACGGGACUACUUUUGGUAGCAAUACCGAAAGUGAUCCAGUGGCGAACGGGUGCGUAACACGUGGGCAAUCUAUCGAGAAGUGGGGGAUAGCUCGCCGAAAGGCGAAUUAAUACCGCAUGUGAUCAGAGGCGACAUCGCUUCGAAAUCAAAGGUGGCGCAAGCUACCGCUUUUUGAGGAGCCCGCGGCCUAUCAGCUUGUUGGUGAGGUAACGGCUCACCAAGGCAUUGACGGGUAGCUGGUCUGAGAGGACGACCAGUCACACUGGGACUGAGACACGGCCCAGACACCUACGGGUGGCAGCAGUCGAGAAUUUUUCUCAAUGGGGGAAACCCUGAAGGAGCGACGCCGCGUGGAGGAUGAAGGUCUUCGGAUUGUAAACUCCUGUCAUUUGGGAACAAGGUGUGCGCGUUAACUGCGCGCGCAUUGAUAGUACCAGAAGAGGAAGAGACGGCUAACUCUGUGCCAGCAGCCGCGGUAAUACAGAGGUCUCAAGCGUUGUUCGGAUUCAUUGGGCGUAAAGGGUGCGUAGGCGGCGCGGUAAGUCGGGUGUGAAAUUUCGAGGCUUAACUUCGAAACUGCAUUCGAUACUGCCGUGCUUGAGGACUGGAGAGGAGACUGGAAUUUACGGUGUAGCGGUGAAAUGCGUAGAUAUCGUAAGGAAGACCAGUGGCGAAGGCGGGUCUCUGGACAGUUCCUGACGCUGAGGCACGAAGGCCAGGGGAGCAAACGGGAUUAGAUACCCCGGUAGUCCUGGCAAUAAACGGUGCACGUUUGGUGUGGGAGGAUUCGACCCCUUCUGCGCCGGAGCUAACGCGUUAAACGUGCCGCCUGGGGAGUACGGUCGCAAGAUUAAAACUCAAAGAAAUUGACGGGGGCCCGCACAAGCGGUGGAGUAUGUGGCUUAAUUCGAUGCAACGCGAAGAACCUUACCUGGCCUUGACAUGCAUCUCUAAGCUGGUGAAAGCCAGUGAGUCCCGAAAGGGACAAUUUGCACAGGUGCUGCAUGGCUGUCGUCAGCUCGUGUCGUGAGAUGUUGGGUUAAGUCCCGCAACGAGCGCAACCCUCGCCUUUAGUUGCCAUCAUUCAGUUGGGCACUCUAAAGGGACUGCCGGUGAUAAGCCGGAGGAAGGUGGGGAUGACGUCAAGUCCUCAUGGCCCUUACGGGUAGGGCUACACACGUGCUACAAUGGCGGUGACAGAGGGCAGCGACCCCGCGAGGGGAUGCUAAUCCUAAAAAGCCGUCUCAGUUCGGAUUGCACUCUGCAACUCGGGUGCAUGAAGUCGGAAUCGCUAGUAAUCGCUAAUCAGCAGGUAGCGGUGAAUACGUUCCCGGGC
rnacentral:rRNA from 1 species